UACGGGGGGAGCAAGCGUUGUUCGGAUUUACUGGGCGUAAAGGGCGCGUAGGCGGUCAGCACAAGUCAGUUGUGAAAUCUCCGGGCUUAACCCGGAAAGGUCAACUGAUACUGUGCGACUAGAGUGCGGAAGGGGCAACUGGAAUUCUCGGUGUAGCGGUGAAAUGCGUAGAUAUCGAGAGGAACACCUGAGGUGAAGACGGGUUGCUGGGCCGACACUGACGCUGAGUGCGCGAAAGCCAGGGGAGCAAACGGG
rnacentral:rRNA from 1 species